rnacentral:rRNA from 1 species
UACGUAGGGGGCAAGCGUUGUCCGGAAUCAUUGGGCGUAAAGAGCGCGUAGGCGGCCCUGUAAGUCCGCUGUGAAAGUCAAGGGCUCAACCCUUGGAUGCCGGUGGAUACUGCAGGGCUAGAGUCCGGAAGAGGCGAGUGGAAUUCCUGGUGUAGCGGUGAAAUGCGCAGAUAUCAGGAGGAACACCAAUAGCGAAGGCAGCUCGCUGGGACGUAACUGACGCUGAGACGCGAAAGCGUGGGGAGCAAACAGG